rnacentral:rRNA from 5 species
AGAGUUUGAUCCUGGCUCAGGAUGAACGCUGGCGGCGUGCCUAAUACAUGCAAGUCGAGCGAACGGACGAGAAGCUUGCUUCUCUGAUGUUAGCGGCGGACGGGUGAGUAACACGUGGAUAACCUACCUAUAAGACUGGGAUAACUUCGGGAAACCGGAGCUAAUACCGGAUAAUAUUUUGAACCGCAUGGUUCAAAAGUGAAAGACGGUCUUGCUGUCACUUAUAGAUGGAUCCGCGCUGCAUUAGCUAGUUGGUAAGGUAACGGCUUACCAAGGCAACGAUGCAUAGCCGACCUGAGAGGGUGAUCGGCCACACUGGAACUGAGACACGGUCCAGACUCCUACGGGAGGCAGCAGUAGGGAAUCUUCCGCAAUGGGCGAAAGCCUGACGGAGCAACGCCGCGUGAGUGAUGAAGGUCUUCGGAUCGUAAAACUCUGUUAUUAGGGAAGAACAUAUGUGUAAGUAACUGUGCACAUCUUGACGGUACCUAAUCAGAAAGCCACGGCUAACUACGUGCCAGCAGCCGCGGUAAUACGUAGGUGGCAAGCGUUAUCCGGAAUUAUUGGGCGUAAAGCGCGCGUAGGCGGUUUUUUAAGUCUGAUGUGAAAGCCCACGGCUCAACCGUGGAGGGUCAUUGGAAACUGGAAAACUUGAGUGCAGAAGAGGAAAGUGGAAUUCCAUGUGUAGCGGUGAAAUGCGCAGAGAUAUGGAGGAACACCAGUGGCGAAGGCGACUUUCUGGUCUGUAACUGACGCUGAUGUGCGAAAGCGUGGGGAUCAAACAGGAUUAGAUACCCUGGUAGUCCACGCCGUAAACGAUGAGUGCUAAGUGUUAGGGGGUUUCCGCCCCUUAGUGCUGCAGCUAACGCAUUAAGCACUCCGCCUGGGGAGUACGACCGCAAGGUUGAAACUCAAAGGAAUUGACGGGGACCCGCACAAGCGGUGGAGCAUGUGGUUUAAUUCGAAGCAACGCGAAGAACCUUACCAAAUCUUGACAUCCUUUGACAACUCUAGAGAUAGAGCCUUCCCCUUCGGGGGACAAAGUGACAGGUGGUGCAUGGUUGUCGUCAGCUCGUGUCGUGAGAUGUUGGGUUAAGUCCCGCAACGAGCGCAACCCUUAAGCUUAGUUGCCAUCAUUAAGUUGGGCACUCUAAGUUGACUGCCGGUGACAAACCGGAGGAAGGUGGGGAUGACGUCAAAUCAUCAUGCCCCUUAUGAUUUGGGCUACACACGUGCUACAAUGGACAAUACAAAGGGCAGCGAAACCGCGAGGUCAAGCAAAUCCCAUAAAGUUGUUCUCAGUUCGGAUUGUAGUCUGCAACUCGACUACAUGAAGCUGGAAUCGCUAGUAAUCGUAGAUCAGCAUGCUACGGUGAAUACGUUCCCGGGUCUUGUACACACCGCCCGUCACACCACGAGAGUUUGUAACACCCGAAGCCGGUGGAGUAACCUUUUAGGAGCUAGCCGUCGAAGGUGGGACAAAUGAUUGGGGUGAAGUCGUAACAAGGUAGCCGUAUCGGAAGGUGCGGCUGGGUCACCU